UGGUGCUAUCUGGAAGUAUAGAUGGCUGAAAAGGGAAUCCGGUGUGAAUCCGGAACUGACGCGCAGCGGUAAGAGAGAACGAAAGCUUAAUCAGACACUGCAUGACGGAAUCGUGUGGGAAGUCAGGCGAGUAGGUUAACAGCUCUUGAGUCCGAAUACCUGCCAGCAGCUG
rnacentral:ncRNA from 1 species